UAAGUUGUGAACUAUUGUAUAAUUGAUUUCUCGCUCUCUAUGUGGUGUUAUAGUUAGUGUUUUGUGUAUUAUGCAAUUCAUUGAGGUGUUAAUUAGAUCGAACACAUCCCUGUUACUCAGAAUUAUAAUGCUUUAUAGUGAGUGGUGGUUUGAGUAUGUGGAAGUGAGGAAAGUUUUGAAACAUAUAUCCCUGUUCUCUCCAUGAAACAGAUCAAUCUGCUUGCGUGGCUGUGUUUCGCCGCUGCUCUGGGCUUCUGGUCUGCCGUGCUUUGUCGCUGCUAUCUGAGUCUUUCUCUGGUUGGCCGUGCUUCGCAACCUCUGAGUCUAAGAAGUAUAGCAAUUCAAUCAACCAUGGAUGAAGAAGAAUAUGCUUUUAUUAGUUACUGGUGUACUGAAAAGGGACCGAAAGAGACGAAAGCGAAUUGAGGCAGCUGGCAUCGACUAUGUGGGCUGUGUGCAGCCUACUCCAAAGAAGAUCAGAUUCAAUUCGCAGAUUAGAGGGGCAUUUAAUUUGGUCGCGAUCGACGUGAGCUGUUGUUGUCUACAAAGAAACAUGCACUGAAAACUCAUUGCCUGGAGAUGAUGUCGAGAAGAAGGAAAAAUAUGACCAAUUUAUAGCUAGUCUUCAUUGAAUGGGGAAAGCUUGUGCCAAGUUUUUGUAUUUUAUUUCACAGAUUUUGAUAGUGGUAGUAACCAAAGUAUGCUUGCUGACUUCUACGAAAGUGAUUUUUAGAAUAUAUAUUUUAAGUUUCAAUGGAUGAAGAUAUUUGUUGUUGAUUA